rnacentral:rRNA from 1 species
GACGAACCUUUGCGGCGUGCUUAACACAUGCAAGUCGAACGGAAAGGCCCUGCUUUUGUGGGGUGCUCGAGUGGCGAACGGGUGAGUAACACGUGAGUAACCUGCCCUUGACUUUGGGAUAACUUCAGGAAACUGGGGCUAAUACCGGAUAGGAGCUCCUGCUGCAUGGUGGGGGUUGGAAAGUUUCGGCGGUUGGGGAUGGACUCGCGGCUUAUCAGCUUGUUGGUGGGGUAGUGGCUUACCAAGGCUUUGACGGGUAGCCGGCCUGAGAGGGUGACCGGCCACAUUGGGACUGAGAUACGGCCCAGACUCCUACGGGAGGCAGCAGUGGGGAAUAUUGCACAAUGGGCGGAAGCCUGAUGCAGCAACGCCGCGUGCGGGAUGACGGCCUUCGGGUUGUAAACCGCUUUCGCCUGUGACGAAGCGUGAGUGACGGUAAUGGGUAAAGAAGCACCGGCUAACUACGUGCCAGCAGCCGCGGUGAUACGUAGGGUGCGAGCGUUGUCCGGGUUUAUUGGGCGUAAAGGGCUCGUAGGUGGUUGAUCGCGUCGGAAGUGUAAUCUUGGGGCUUAACCCUGAGCGUGCUUUCGAUACGGGUUGACUUGAGGAAGGUAGGGGAGAAUGGAAUUCCUGGUGGAGCGGUGGAAUGCGCAGAUAUCAGGAGGAACACCAGUGGCGAAGGCGGUUCUCUGGGCCUUUCCUGACGCUGAGGAGCGAAAGCGUGGGGAGCGAACAGGCUUAGAUACCCUGGUAGUCCACGCUGUAAACGGUGGGUACUAGGUGUGGGGUCCAUUCCACGGGUUCCGUGCCGUAGCUAACGCUUUAAGUACCCCGCCUGGGGAGUACGGCCGCAAGGCUAAAACUCAAAGGAAUUGACGGGGCCCCGCACAAGCGGCGGAGCAUGCGGAUUAAUUCGAUGCAACGCGUAGAACCUUACCUGGGUUUGACAUGGAUCGGGAGUGCUCAGAGAUGGGUGUGCCUCUUUUGGGGUCGGUUCACAGGUGGUGCAUGGCUGUCGUCAGCUCGUGUCGUGAGAUGUUGGGUUAAGUCCCGCAACGAGCGCAACCCUUGUUCACUGUUGCCAGCACGUUAUGGUGGGGACUCAGUGGAGACCGCCGGGGUCAACUCGGAGGAAGGUGGGGAUGACGUCAAGUCAUCAUGCCCCUUAUGUCCAGGGCUUCACGCAUGCUACAAUGGCUGGUACAGAGAGUGGCGAGCCUGUGAGGGUGAGCGAAUCUCGGAAAGCCGGUCUCAGUUCGGAUUGGGGUCUGCAACUCGACCUCAUGAAGUCGGAGUCGCUAGUAAUCGCAGAUCAGCAACGCUGCGGUGAAUACGUUCCCGGGGCU